rnacentral:rRNA from 1 species
UGGGGAAUAUUGGGCAAUGGGGGCAACCCUGACCCAGCAACGCCGCGUGAAGGAAGAAGGCUUUCGGGUUGUAAACUUCUUUGACGAGGGACGAAAGAAAUGGCGGUACCUCGAAAACAAGCCACGGCUAACUACGUGCCAGCAGCCGCGGUAAUACGUAGGUGGCAAGCGUUGUCCGGAUUUACUGGGUGUAAAGGGCGCGUAGGUGGGUAAGCAAGUCAGAUGUGAAAUGCCGGGGCUUAACUUCGGGGCUGCAUUUGAAACUGUUUAUCUUGAGUGCAGGAGAGGAAAGCGGAAUUCCUAGUGUAGCGGUGAAAUGCGUAGAUAUUAGGAGGAAC